GGGUGACUGCGUACCUUUUGUAUAAUGGGUCAGCGACUUAUAUUCUGUAGCAAGGUUAACCGUAUAGGGGAGCCGUAGGGAAACCGAGUCUUAACUGGGCGAAUAAGUUGCAGGGUAUAGACCCGAAACCCGGUGAUCUAGCCAUGGGCAGGUUGAAGGUUGGGUAACACUAACUGGAGGACCGAACCGACUAAUGUUGAAAAAUUAGCGGAUGACUUGUGGCUGGGGGUGAAAGGCCAAUCAAACCGGGAGAUAGCUGGUUCUCCCCGAAAGCUAUUUAGGUAGCGCCUCGUGAACUCAUCUUCGGGGGUAGAGCACUGUUUCGACUAGGGGGUCAUCCCGACUUACCAACUCGAUGCAAACUACGAAUACCGAAGAAUGUUAUCACGGGAGACACACGGCGGGUGCUAACGUUCGUCGUGAAGAGGGAAACAACCCAGACCGCCAGCUAAGGUCCCAAAGUCAUAGUUAAGUGGGAAACGAAGUGGGAAGGCUCAGACAGCCAGGAUGUUGGCUUAGAAGCAGCCAUCAUUUAAAGAAAGCGUAAUAGCUCACUGGUCGAGUCGGCCUGCGCGGAAGAUGUAACGGGGCUAAACUAUGCACCGAAGCUGCGGCAGCGAUAUGUAAAUAUUGUUGGGUAGGGGAGCGUUCUGUAAGCCUGUGAAGGUGUGCUGUGAGGCAUGCUGGAGGUAUCAGAAGUGCGAAUGCUGACAUAAGUAACGAUAAUGCGGGUGAAAAACCCGCACGCCGGAAGACCAAGGGUUCCUGUCCAACGUUAAUCGGGGCAGGGUGAGUCGACCCCUAAGGCGAGGCAGAAAUGCGUAGUCGAUGGGAAACGGGUUAAUAUUCCCGUACUGGUGAUAAUUGCGAUGGGGGGACGGAGAAGGCUAGGCUAUCCGGGCGACGGUUGUCCCGGUUUAAGGAUGUAGGCAGGUGAAUUAGGCAAAUCCGGUUCACUACAUGCUGAGGUCCGAUGACGAGUCACUACGGUGAUGAAGUAGCUCAUGCCCCGCUUCCAGGAAAAGCCUCUAAGCUCUAGAUUAUCAUUAAUCGUACCCCAAACCGACACAGGUGGUCAGGUAGAGAAUACUCAGGCGCUUGAGAGAACUCGGGUGAAGGAACUAGGCAAAAUGGUGCCGUAACUUCGGGAGAAGGCACGCUGGCAUUAGGUGAAGUGAUUUACUCAUGGAGCUGAAGCCAGUCGCAGAUACCAGCUGGCUGCAACUGUUUAUUAAAAACACAGCACUGUGCAAACACGAAAGUGGACGUAUACGGUGUGACGCCUGCCCGGUGCUGGAAGGUUAAUUGAUGGGGUUAUCCGUAAGGAGAAGCUCUUGAUCGAAGCCCCAGUAAACGGCGGCCGUAACUAUAACGGUCCUAAGGUAGCGAAAUUCCUUGUCGGGUAAGUUCCGACCUGCACGAAUGGCGUAAUGAUGGCCAGGCUGUCUCCACCCGAGACUCAGUGAAAUUGAACUCGCUGUGAAGAUGCAGUGUACCCGCGGCAAGACGGAAAGACCCCGUGAACCUUUACUAUAGCUUGACACUGAACAUUGAGCCUUGAUGUGUAGGAUAGGUGGGAGGCUUUGAAGCGUGGACGCCAGUCUGCGUGGAGCCAACCUUGAAAUACCACCCUUUAAUGUUUGAUGUUCUAACGUUGCCCCAUUAUCUGGGGUGCGGACAGUGUCUGGUGGGUAGUUUGACUGGGGCGGUCUCCUCCCAAAGAGUAACGGAGGAGCACGAAGGUUGGCUAAGCAUGGUCGGACAUCAUGCGGUUAGUGCAAAGGCAUAAGCCAGCUUGACUGCGAGAGUGACGGCUCGAGCAGGUACGAAAGUAGGUCUUAGUGAUCCGGUGGUUCUGAAUGGAAGGGCCAUCGCUCAACGGAUAAAAGGUACUCCGGGGAUAACAGGCUGAUACCGCCCAAGAGUUCAUAUCGACGGCGGUGUUUGGCACCUCGAUGUCGGCUCAUCACAUCCUGGGGCUGAAGUAGGUCCCAAGGGUACGGCUGUUCGCCGUUUAAAGUGGUACGCGAGCUGGGUUUAGAACGUCGUGAGACAGUUCGGUCCCUAUCUGCCGUGGGCGUUGGAAGAUUGAAAGGGGCUGCUCCUAGUACGAGAGGACCGGAGUGGACGCACCACUGGUGUUCGGGUUGUCAUGCCAAUGGCAUUGCCCGGUAGCUAAGUGCGGAAGAGAUAACCGCUGAAAGCAUCUAAGCGGGAAACUUGCCUUGAGAUGAGUCUUCCCUGACUCUUUAAGAGUCCUAAAGGAACGUUUAAGACUAAGACGUUGAUAGGUUGGGUGUGUAAGCGUAGCGAUACGUUGAGCUAACCAAUACUAAUGAACCGUGAGGCUUAACCUG
rnacentral:rRNA from 1 species